rnacentral:lncRNA from 1 species
CCUCUGUUUGUUUGUCUGUUAUUCUCAGCGCAAUCGGAAGAGAACAUCGGAAAAUGGUAUUACGGUAGUCGUGCAGAAUCGACAGACUGGUCUGGUGAAGCAGUGCCACUGCCAACUUUAUUCAAUGGUUCGCCGACAGAGGCCCAACCAAAGAGUUCCAAGUCAGGAUCAAAACCAUCUUUGAUGGAAUUGGCUCUCUACAAUAUGGCUGCAAUGUUGGCUGGUCUUGCUGCUGGCUAUGAUGUUAGGUUAUCAAAUGUCACACCACUUCAUCCCAAGCUACAGCCCAGCUGGAGGUAAGAUCUCGCAAAAUCUUCUUUCUAUAGGUACAACGAGGUAGGUAAGCACCAAGAGGCUCACCCAAGAAGUAGCAAAAAUGCUCUUACAACAUUCUU